rnacentral:rRNA from 1 species
ACGAACGCUGGCGGCGUGCCUAAUACAUGCAAGUCGAGCGGAAUGAUGAAGAAGCUUGCUUCUUCUGAUUUUAGCGGCGGACGGGUGAGUAACACGUGGGCAACCUACCUUGUAGAUUGGGAUAACUCCGGGAAACCGGGGCUAAUACCGAAUAAUCCAUUUUGCUUCAUGGCGAGAUGUUGAAAGGCGGCUUCGGCUGUCACUACGAGAUGGGCCCGCGGCGCAUUAGCUAGUUGGUAGGGUAAUGGCCUACCAAGGCGACGAUGCGUAGCCGACCUGAGAGGGUGAUCGGCCACACUGGGACUGAGACACGGCCCAGACUCCUACGGGAGGCAGCAGUAGGGAAUCUUCCACAAUGGACGAAAGUCUGAUGGAGCAACGCCGCGUGAGUGAAGAAGGUUUUCGGAUCGUAAAACUCUGUUGUAAGGGAAGAACACGUACGAGAGUAACUGCUCGUACCUUGACGGUACCUUAUUAGAAAGCCACGGCUAACUACGUG